CCUAACUGUCUGACUCUCGAGAAAGAACUAAGAUACCCACCACCACGUACCGGUAAGAAUCAACCACCUCGCUAACCAGACAAAUUAAGGAAAUUACUUGCUCUGGAGUCGGACGAUUGAUCGAUACGUCUCGGUAGGGAGGCGUCGAUCGAAGAAUCUCCCUGAUAGCGGCAAAUCAGCUGCCUUCAAACUCCGUUAUUGUCCAGACACUACGGGAAUCUACAAGACCCGGCGUGCGCGCGAUGUCACUACAUAAGUUGCUCAUAUAUAGGAACCGGCUGUCCGGACCCAUUAGAACCCUUCAAAGUAGCACUACCCCUAUCUAGUAACGUUAACAACCAGAAGUUGUUCCUUACGGAUCAUUCGCGCUCAGUAGUCGAGCGCAACUGAUGCAGGGACGGGAAACAUGUGUGGCGAGUAGCGAGGAUGGUUAACUUACCAGACCACUUCACAAGCCUAGCGUCGCUGCCCCCGCCAAACGGCGGGGGCUGCAACACUCUUCAGGUAACUUGGAAUAGUAAA
rnacentral:rRNA from 1 species